AUGAUGAAUAUGAGCAAGUUGAUAUAUGUGCAAACGCUAUGUAAUGUAACUAUGUGCAGCUGCGUUAUUUACUGUGCAGCAGCAAGCAAGCCUAGUAAACUUUCUACCGUGCCUGUGUCACUGAAACUGCCAUACAUGUUUAGCAGGGACUGUAUCACGGAUUUGGACAACAAUAGGCCCUUCUUUACAAUGCACGCAUGCAUUGCCUUUCCAUAUUGUACUGAGGCUGCAGCCUUCAUGGCAACAAGUGCUGCGGAGAAAAUUGUUGGACUUGGUGCUGGCUCUACUUCUUGCAUCUUGCAGCAUAGAUUCAUUACCUCGCAGUGCAUACCAUUUCGAGACAAGCCAGUUAUUAACAGGCUCCAUGUGCGUAGAUUUGGGCGUGUUUUUGUUAGUAGCAUCUCAUUGAAGAUCUCUAGGGCCUCAUUAAUCUGCUCAUUCUUCAUAAAAGCUGAAAUGACCGAAUCCCAGCACGCUGCACUUGGAGAUAUGCCCUCAUGCUGCAUCUGA
rnacentral:rRNA from 1 species